GUUGUCAAGAGAUGGGGUCUGUCACAAGAUCCUUGACCCAUUGAUCCUCUUGAUGAUAAUUACAUACUUGUUCAGUACAUAUGAGCAAAUAUUUUCUCCUAGUCUUCCACUUCCUUUUAAAUAAACUUUUUAUUUUGGACUAAUUUUAGGUUUAGAGAUAAGUUGCAAAGUGGUAGAGAGUUUCCAGAUAUUACUCACUCAGUAAGCCCUAUUUUAACGUCUUACAUUACAAUGUACACUUGUGAAAACUUUUUAUACCACAUUGGCACAUAGUAUUAACUAGGACUUCAUUCAGAUUUCACCAGCUUUUCCAGUAAUGUUUUUUUUGUGUUCCAGGAUUCAGUGUAGGAUACUAUAUUGCAUUUAGCUGUCAUAUCUCCUUAGUGUCUUCUGGUCUGUGACAGUUUCUCAGUCUUUCUUUCUUUCCCAUGACCUUAACAGUUUUUAGGAGUGAUAGGUAUUUUGUAGAAUGUCCCUCACUUUGUGUUGAAGUUUUUCUCUUGAUUAGAUUGGGCCUAUGGAUUUUUUGAAAGAAUACACCAAAGGCAAAGUGACUUCCUUAUCAUAUAUCAGUGUAUACAUGACAUUCACAUGACAUCACUGGUGAUGUUAACCUUCAUCACUAGUUAAGGCAGCAUUUGCCAGGUUUCUCCACUAUAAAAUUACUACUUUUCCCUUUCCAGAUUCUAUUUAUUAGAAGCAAAUCACUAACUGCAGCCUAUACUGAAGGGGCAGGGAAGGGCAGGAGGGUUAAGCUUUACCUCCCACAAAGACUCUCUCAAUAAAUUAUUUGGAAUUCUUCUGUAAGAAAGAAUUGUCUCUUCAAUACUGUUUGUUUAUUUGACCAAUAAUUUAAGUCACUUAUUUAUAUUAGUAUGAACUUAUAUGGAUUUUUGGCACUUAUUUUGGGCUUUCUUUUUGUAUUUAUUGAGACGUAACUCACAACAUAAAACUCACCAUUUCAAAGCAUACAGUUCAGUGGUUUACAGUAUAUUCACAAUGUUAUGCAACCAACGUCGUCUAACUUCAGAAGAUGUCCAUCCUCCCAAAAGGAAAUUCUAUACCUAUUAGUAAUCACUCCCAAUUCCCCUCUUCCCCUCUCCCUAAUCUAUUUUCUCUCUCUAUGAAUUUGCCUAUUCUGGACAUCUCAUAUAAGUGGAAUCAUAUAAUAUCCAACCUUUUGUGCCUGGCUUCUGUCACUUAGCAUAAUGUUUUCAAGGUUCAUCUAUGUUGUAGCAUACUCAGUACUUCAUAUCUGUUAUGGCUGAAUAAUAUUUCAUUGUAUAUGUUUUGUUUAUCCAUUCAUCCAUUGAUGAGCCCGUGGGUUGUUUCCACUUUUUGGCCAUUACUGAUAAUGCCACUAUGAACAUCGGUAUACAAGUUUUUGUUUGAACAUGUGUUUUCAAUUCUCUUGGGUAUAUACCUGGGAGUGAAAUUGCUGUGUCAUACGGUAACUAUGUUUAACUUGUUGAGAAACUGCCAAAAUGUUUCCUAAGGCAGUUGCUUCAUUUUCUAUUCCCAUCAGCAAUAUAUGAGGGUU
rnacentral:lncRNA from 10 species